rnacentral:lncRNA from 1 species
GCCAAAAACAACAAAAAAGUAAGGUAACUUUUCGUCCAUUUUUAUCCACUUAUGUCAUUUUUCAUAAGUGGGCCAAAAACAGCAAAAAAGUAAGGCUAUAGCCUUAACUUUUCGUCCAUUUUUAGCCACUUAUGUCAUUUUUCAUAAGUGGGCCGAAAGCAGCAAAAAAGUAAGGCUAUAGCCUUAACUUUUCGUCCAUUUUUAGC